rnacentral:rRNA from 1 species
GCAUCGCUCUGAUGUAUAUAUUAAGUUGUUGCAGUUAAAAAGCUCGUAGUUGAAACUUGGGUGCGUAGGGGCGGUCUCUUUUAGAGUACUACCCUGAAACAUCUUUCUUUGGUGUAAACUCUUUAUUCACUUAAGGAGUGUAAACCAAACAUUUACUUUGAAAAAAUUAGAGUGUUCAAAGCAGGCCUUUGCUCGAAUAUAUUAGCAUGGAAUAAUAGAAUAGGACGUAUGGUUCUAUUUUGUUGGUUUCUAGGACCGUCGUAAUGAUUAAUAGGGACGGUCGGGGGCAUCAGUAUUCAGUUGUCAGAGGUGAAAUUCUUGGAUUUACUGAAGACUAACUACUGCGAAAGCAUUUGCCAAGGACGUUUUCAUUAAUCAAGAACGAAAGUUAGGGGAUCGAAGACGCAGAAUAUACCGU